rnacentral:rRNA from 1 species
CCUACGGGAGGCUGCAGUGGGGGAUAUUGCACAAUGGGGGAAACCCUGAUGCAGCGACGCCGCGUGUGGGAAGACGGUCCUCUGGAUUGUAAACCACUGUCCCCAGGGACGAAGAUGCCGGUACCUGGGGAGGAAGCUCCGGCUAACUAGGUGCAAGCAGCCGCGGUAAUACGUAGGGAGCAAGCGUUGUCCGGAAUUACGGGGUGUAAAGGGAGCGUGGGGGGGAUGGAAAGUUGGGUGUUAAAUCUACCGGCUAAACUGGUAGUUGCACUGAAAACUGCUAUUCUUGAGUGAAGUAGAGGCAGGCGGAAUUCCUAGUGUAGCGGUGAAAUGCGUAGAUAUUAGGAGGAACACUAGUGGCGAAGGCGGCCUGCUGGGCUUUUACUGACGCUGAGGCUCGAAAGUGUGGGGAGCAAACAGGAUUAGAUACCCGAGUAGUC